CGUGGCAGUGAGGCGGGGUCCCUGGUCGGGGCGGAGCUGCGCCUGCGCCUCCGAAACCCCUCGUGUUGCAUUCUGACUGGACCGCGUAUCCAUAACGGGCACCGCCCCCGGACUGCCGGCAGGAAGCCUGGCUGACGCAACUUCCGUCGCGCGUGCGGCCCGUGCAGCGCCUGCAGAGGCGUGGGGUCCGACAGAUCCUGACCUCAGCUGGCACCAGUUAUGGCCUUUUCACAGAAGAAGGGCCUGUCUGCGGAUGAGGAGGUGGAAGCUUGGRGAUUUCUGGGGCCUGUGGAUAAAGGGAGGUGAGAAGAGGGCAUGGGUUGUGGAGCUGGGAGGCUAGCCUUGGAGCAGCAUCAAGCUGUACAACAGGUCAGGGUGGGACCAGGAGGAUCAGGUUAGACUUGGGACUGGAGAGACACGUCAUGUACCUUCUGCAAGUGYAGCUUUGUUAUCCUCCCCCAGGAGCUAGAGCAAAGUCUUGGCUGUUGGCCAUGUGCCUGCACAACUUGGCACUCAGGGUCUGAGUUCACCUGUUGAGUUCACAAGCUUGGAAAA